GCCAAAAUAGCUCAUUUGGUAGAGCAUAAGACUGAAGAUCUAAAGGUCCCUGGUUCGAUCCUGGGUCUCGCCA
rfam:Salmo salar isolate Sally breed double haploid chromosome ssa27, whole genome shotgun sequence.